rnacentral:rRNA from 1 species
GACGAACGCUGGCGGCGUGCUUAACACAUGCAAGUCGAGCGGUAAGGCCCUUCGGGGUACACGAGCGGCGAACGGAUGAGUAACACGUGGGUGACCUGCCUCUAGCUCUGGGAUAAGCCUGGGAAACUGGGUCUAAUACCGGAUAUGACUCCACGGCGCAUGUUGUGGGGUGGAAAGCCUUGUGUGGCUAGAGAUGGGCCCGCGGCCUAUCAGCUUGUGUGGGNAUGGCCUACCAAGGCGACGACGGUAGCCGGCCUGAGAGGGCGACCGGCCACACUGGGACUGAGACACGGCCCAGACUCCUACGGGAGGCAGCAGUGGGGAAUCUUGCGCAAUGGGCGAAAGCCUGACGCAGCGACGCCGCGUGA